ACCGCGGACGCCGGCUCCUCAAGGAGAUCUUCCUCGACCUCAUUGGCAAGGUGACGCCUCCUGGCCAUGGCUGGUGGCUGAGGUGUCGUCUCCACCGCGAGGGCGGUGCUUGGUAGGCGCCAUGGAGCGGAGCUUCCUCUGCCCGCCCAAGACGCCAUGGAUCUUGUGCUCCUCAAGCUCCUUCUUCCUCCACCACAAGGACAAGCAGUAGCAGCAGCAUCAAGGAACCGACGGAGGAGGAGGAGGACCACCUACGCCCCCUUGAUGGCCAACCGCCACGACCUCAUCUCUUCUCUUGUCUUCAUCAACACCAAGGACAACCCAACAACCCCCAUCAAGCAAGCAAGCAAAGCUACCAUCUUCAAUCUCCAUCACCAAUCCCCACCAAAACCUCAGAGUCAGAGCUGCAGCAUUCGGAAUUAG